GACUAGGCCCAAGCGACUGUUUACUAAAAACACAGCAGCGUGCUAAGUCGUAAGACGACGUAUACGCUGUGACGCCUGCCCGGUGCCGGAAGGUUAAGAGGAGCGGUUAGCACUUCGGUGCGAAGCUUUGAAUCAAAGCCCCGGUAAACGGCGGCGGUAACUAUAACCGUCCUAAGGUAGCGAAAUUCCUUGUCGGGUAAGUUCCGACCUGCACGAAUGGCGUAACGACUUGGGCACUGUCUCAACCACGGACUCGGCGAAAUUGCAGUGUGAGUAAAGAUGCUCACUACCUGCGACAGGACGGAAAGACCCCGGGACCUUUACUGCAGCUUGACAUUGGAGUUUGGUGUGUUAUGUGUAGGAUAGGUGGGAGGCUUUGAAACGGAGGCGCUAGCUUUCGUGGAGCCACACUUGAAAUACCACCCUUAUCAUAUCGAGCUUCUAACCUCGGUCCGUUAUCCGGAUCAGGAACAGUGUCUGGCGGGCAGUUUCACUGGGGUGGUGGCCUCCCAAAAAGUAACGGAGGCGCCCAAAGGUUCCCUCAGUCCGGUUGGCAAUCGGACGUUGAGUGUAAGGGCACAAGGGAGCUUAACUGCGAGACCUACAAGUCGAGCAGAUGCGAAAGCAGGGCCUAGUGAUCCCAUGGCGGCAUGUGGAAGCGCCAUGGCUCAUCGGCUAAAAGGUACCCCGGGGAUAACAGGCUAAUCUUGCCCAAGAGUCCAUAUCGACGGCAAGGCUUGGCACCUCGAUGUCGGCUCGUCGCAUCCUGGGGCUGAAGCAGGUCCCAAGGGUCGGGCUGUUCGCCCGUUAAAGCGGCACGCGAGCUGGGUUUAGAACGUCGUGAGACAGUUCGGUCCCUAUCCGUCGCAGGCGCAGGAGGUUUGAGAGGAGCUGUCCCUAGUACGAGAGGACCGGGAUGGACGUACCUCUGGUGUGCCAGUUGUCUUGCCAAGGGCAUGGCUGGUUAGCUACGUACGGAACGGAUAAGCGCUGAAAGCAUCUAAGUGCGAAGCCGGCCUCAAGAUGAGACCUCCCACCGAUUUAUCGGGUAAGACCCCUGGCAGAACACCAGGUUGAUAGGCCGGAGGUGUAAGCGCAGUAAUGCGUUCAGCCGACCGGUACUAAUCGGUCGAGGGCUUGAGUCG
rnacentral:rRNA from 1 species